GAAAAAUUUUAAAUAGCUGCAAUUUUUGUACUAAGGUAGCAUAAUCAUUUGUUUUUUAAUUUUAAACUAGAAUGAAAGGUAAAACAAAUUAUUUCUUUAUUUUUUAUUUUAUUCCAAUUUAUAUUAAAUAUAAAAAUAUAUUUUUUUAAAAAAAAGACGACAAGACCCUAUUGAACUUUACUUUAGUUAAGCUGGGGAAGCUUAAUAAUAAACAUUUUAUUAAAAAUUUUAUAAAUGACCCAAAACAUUUGAUUAAUUAAUCAAGUUACCAUAGGGAUAACAGCGCAAUAAACUUUUAAAGUUCUUAUCUAAAAAUUUGUUUACGACCUCGAUGUUGAAUUAGAAACCUUUAUUAAGCAAAAAUA
rnacentral:rRNA from 1 species